rnacentral:rRNA from 1 species
CCUACGGGAGGCAGCAGUGGGGGAUAUUGCACAAUGGGGGAAACCCUGAUGCAGCGACGCCGCGUGUGGGAAGACGGUCCUCUGGAUUGUAAACCACUGUCCCCAGGGACGAAGAUGACGGUACCUGGGGAGGAAGCUCCGACUAACCCCGUACCAGCAGCCGCGGUAAUACGGGGGAUGCGAGCGUUAUCCGGAUUUAUUGGGGUAAAGGGGUGGGUAGGCGGUCCGGAAAGUCGGCGGUAAAAGCCCGGGGCCAAACCGCGGCGAGCCGUUGAAACUGUCGGACUAGAGACGGGGAGAGGUACGCGGAAUGCGCGGUGUAGCGGUGAAAUGCAUAGAUAUCGCGCAGAACUCCGAUUGCGAAGGCAGCGUACCGGCGCCGGACUGACGCUGAGGCACGAAAGCGUGGGUAUCGAACAGGAUUAGAUACCCUAGUAGUC